AACGAACGCUGGCGGCAGGCCUAACACAUGCAAGUCGAGCGCCCAGCAAUGGGAGCGGCGGACGGGUGAGUAACACGUGGGAAUAUGCCUUUCGGUUCGGCACAACUCAGGGAAACUUGAGCUAAUUCCGGAUACGCCCUUACGGGAAAGGAUUAUCGCCGAAGAUUAGCCCGCGUUGGAUUAGCUAGUUGGUGAGGUAACGGCCCACCAAGGCGACGAUCCAUAGCUGGUUUGAGAGAACGACCAGCCACACUGGGACUGAGACACGGCCCAGACUCCUACGGGAGGCAGCAGUGGGGAAGUCUUGGACGAAUGGGGGAAACCCGUGAUCCAGCCAUGCCGCGUGAGUGA
rnacentral:rRNA from 1 species